ACACCCCCUAUGUUCUCCAAGCCUCACUCUAAAGACCAGCCAGACCAGGGACAUCAGGCCCCUGGCUAACCUAUGGUCUGUUCCCCGAACUGCUCUGUAAAAGGAGUUUGCAAGCAGCAGGCUCCGGGGACAAACUUGACAAUCCCACAGCAAAAGUAGGAAACUGUGUUGAGAGGAAGUUCAUUCCUCUUGCAAGGGCAGGCUGGGCUGAGCAGAACACCAGACACAGGGCCUUACUUUCUGGAUAGAGCCAAACCCCGCAGACCCCCAGGACCUUGCCCUUAGGCCAAGGUUCUGAGAAACCUAAAGUCAUUCCACAUAUGAGCUGGCACUGGGCACCGGACUCCUUUGACCUUCAAAGGAACAGGUAGGCCCUGGGAUAAAGGCAAGGAGUCAUUUUCCUAAGGUCAUAGAAACCCAGGUGAUCCUCUCCAUAGCAUGGGAGUGCCCACAUAGGACCACACCAAAUGCUAACCUCCUUACAAAGACUCAACCCACUUUCCGUGCAUGGAAACUGAGGCCCCAGAAGUAAAGCCCAAAAUACACCGCUAAGGGGGAAGGUGGGACACAGACCCAUUGUUUGAAGCCACAGUUCCAGCUACAAGUUCUCAGUCAGGGUCUCCUAGCAGCUUGCAGCUGUCACUUGAGGCCUAGUGGCCCUCUCUCAGAGGGUGACCUUGCUCCCACCAGAUAGGAAGGAAGGAUGGGGAGGGGCUUUCCCUGUGCCUGAAGGGUCAGCAGCAAGGGCUCAGAGCCCAGCCAUCCCCAUUUCCCUGGCCCCCACCCCAACCUUCCUGUCCCUGUGCCUGCCUGCCGGCUUGCCUGCCAUGUUCCAGCCCAUUCAUGGCCUUGGCUUUGAUGGUCAGGAGUGUUCCUUGGCAGGAAAUUGGAGACUUAUGUCCUGCCUCCACCCCCAACUGAGCACCCAGGGGACUUGCCUCUACCUCUGUUUGGGGAAGGCCCGAGUCAUGCUCUCCCUGUGAGCCACAGGCCCUCCACUCCACUGGACAGCCCCAGCACAGAUUAUAGGCUUGUCUUCCUCUGCCCUCCCUCUCUGUCUCUCUCCCUCUCUCUACCCUCUGUCUUCACACAGUAUCUCUGGUCUCAUUCUCCAUCCUCUCCCCACCCCCUCCUUGCUUCCUUCCUGUCCCUCUCUUGCUUUCUUGCCGCAUCCUGCAGCUCCCCCCACUGAGCCUCGAGGAUAAUGCUUUAUGACAUCUCGGUUUAGCUGGCCAGAUGGAUUGUUUUGUGUAUUGUGGACAAACUUCCUGCUAAGCUGGUAGAUUUCUGCCAUCACCCCACCUUCAGCGUUUGGGACCUGAAUUCUAGGGUCUGAAUAUAUUCACAUAAACUGAAGUAGGAAUUAUAGUGUGGCCUCCAGCAAGGUGCUUGCCCUCUCUGAGCCUGUUUCCUGUGGACCAUAUAAUAGCACACUACUGCUAGGUUGAGUCAUGGCCCCACAGCCCCUGCUAAAGUCGGGAGGAAGGGCAGGAGGAGGCAAUAGAUCAUGGCUCCUGCCUGUUUUAUGUCUUGAAUCCCAUAGUAGUUAAUGGGUUAUCUGGGGGUAAACACCACCCACAGUUCUGCCACCACUAUCUCACAACCUUCUUUGCACCAGAAGACAAAACAGGGGUCACUGAGCCCAUUUCACAGACGGAGAAACUGAGGCAUCAGCAAUAGGACUGGAACUCAGUUUUCUCUCUAAGACCAAGGUUACUCCUGGGUGGGCAGAGAUGUGAGGAGGGAGUGGGGAGGGAAGUCCUUGCUGAGAUUCUGGGGGUCCUCCCAGGAUAAAUAAAUAAAAUUGGGUAUCCAUUGGGAGACAGGUAGAUGGCACCCAGCACACUGACGGAGGUAGUUAUACCCACAUCCAGCCAUUCGGCUGCCAGCGACUGAUGACUGGGCCCUUCCCCUCCUGCUCCUGGUUCCUGAUUCCAUCAAGAAGUCUCUGUCUGGGGCUAACGCGUCUUUAAUGACUCUCUAGCAUCUAGCAUUUGUCACUGUCCCUGCCGAAUAGAAAGAGGGUUUCAAGCUCGGUCAGCACCACAAGCUUACACCUUCUAGAAUUUACUCAGAACCGUCGUCGUUUAAGUUCCUGCCUGCUUCCAGCUAGGGGAGCUGGUUUCCAGCUUGGCAUGUGGUGUUGUCCCUGGUCAACUCCUGUGGGAAGGCCUUGAAAAGUGAUCCCUAGGCUCUGGCCAUGGCCACUGUCCAGGUGUGCAGAUCUGGAAUUGGUCGGGACGGGGGGUUGGGGGGGGGUGGAAGCUUUCCCUGGCUGCUGGGGACUCAGGGUGAGUGUGUUCCUCAGGUCAGGGCUUCCUUGCAUACAGCCUCCUGCAAAUCUCCUCUGGCAAUGCAGGGCAGAGGGAGGGAGGGAGGAGGGGAGGGGAGGGGGUGAGAGGCAGAGGGGAGGAAAUGUUUUUCUUCUUCAAUUGGAAACAAUAACACUGGGGGCUCAGGCUGUCUGGGAAGAGGGGCUCAGCCUGGGGACUGGAGAAGGUUCCCCCUGCAGGAAGUACUCCUAACACACAAGUGGAGGGCAGGAAAGUGCUGGAGGAGGCAGAGUAGAGGAAAAACAGGGGAGGGGCCCUGUAGCCACCUGGGGCUCUGCCCUUCCAGUCCUUCCUCACCAUGAGCCUGCAUGGGGACGGGAAGGGUCAGAGAGGUGGGGACAUAAGCCUGAAGCUGCACAGCCUGCUCAGUGUCCCAACUCAGCUCUUAGCCACUGUGUCCUCUGCCAUUCACCCUGGAGUUCACACCCCUAAGUUCCAACCUCAGCCUUGCCUGUAACCUCCUGGUGACCACAGGGAUAGGAGCUUCAGUUUCAAAUCUGAAGAGAGGCAUGGACUCCAAACCACAGCACUGCUGUGAGGAACGAAGCCGGCCACAUGUUGGAGCCGCUGGCCUCCGGUUUAAUUCAACUUAUUAAAUUUUCUUGGGCUGAUUCAAACUUUAGUAUUGCACAUAUGAAUUUUAAGGGGUGGGUCUGGGGAUUUAGCUCAGGGGUAGGGCAAUGACUUAGCAUCAACCAAGACCCUGGAGACAGCUACUCUCAUUUUGGGAUUUUGGAAAGGAGCCUUUGUCCAUGAAAGAAAGACCUGGUGUUCUCCCUUCACAUUGGAUUCUCUGCAUACCUACAAUCCCAGAACUUGGGAGGCCGAGGCAGGAGGACCACUAUGAGUGUGGCAGAGUGAAACCAUACCUCAAAAUUUACAGAAUGCUGGGUUUAUGAAGAUGUGCCUCUAUGCCUGUCUUGAAAAAAAAAAUUGAAUUCUAAAGCCAGAUGAUGCAGAAGUGGACACCUGUGAUCCCAGCACAGGGAGAGGGGAGGCUGGAAGCUCAGGAGUUCAAGGCCACCCUCACUACAGAGUGAGUCCGAAGCCAGCCUGAGAGAGCUAAGGUUUCAUUGUCUUUAAAACUUGUGAAAUUGUUUUCUUACAGUGACUGUUACUUCCUUGUUUG